rnacentral:rRNA from 1 species
GACGAACCGUGCGAACGUUAUUCGGAAUCACUGGGCUUAAAGCGCGUGUAGGCGGGACGGCACGUCGGUCGCUGAAAGCCCCCGGCUCAACCGGGGAAGUGGCGCCGAUACGACCGACCUGGAGGGACGUAGGGGGACCUGGAACUUCCGGUGGAGCGGUGAAAUGCGUUGAGAUCGGAAGGAACGCCCGUGGCGAAAGCGAGGUCCUGGACGUCUGCUGACGCUGAGACGCGAAAGCCGGGGGAGCGAACGGG